rnacentral:rRNA from 1 species
UAGAGUUUGAUCAUGGCUCAGGUUUUAACGCUGGCGGCGUGCCUAAUACAUGAAAGUCGAGCGGACCGAAGGGAGCUUGCUCCUUUAGGUUAGCGGUGGACGGGUGAGUAACACGUGGGCAACCUGCCCUGCAGACUGGGAUAACUUCGGGAAACCGGAGCUAAUACCGGAUAACACCGAAAACCGCAUGGUUUUCGGUUGAAAGGCGGCUUUUAGCUGUCACUGCAGGAUGGGCCCGCGGCGCAUUAGCUAGUUGGUGAGGUAACGGCUCACCAAGGCGACGAUGCGUAGCCGACCUGAGAGGGUGACCGGCCACACUGGGACUGAGACACGGCCCAGACUCCUACGGGAGGCAGCAGUAGGGAAUCUUCCGCAAUGGACGAAAGUCUGACGGAGCAACGCCGCGUGAGCGAAGAAGGUCUUCGGAUCGUAAAGCUCUGUUGUCAGGGAAGAACAAGUACCGUUCGAACAGGGCGGUACCUUGACGGUACCUGACGAGGAAGCCACGGCUAACUACGUGCCAGCAGCCGCGGUAAUACGUAGGUGGCAAGCGUUGUCCGGAAUUAUUGGGCGUAAAGCGCGCGCAGGCGGUUCCUUAAGUCUGAUGUGAAAUCUCGCGGCUCAACCGCGAGCGGCCAUUGGAAACUGGGGAACUUGAGUGCAGGAGAGGGGAGCGGAAUUCCACGUGUAGCGGUGAAAUGCGUAGAGAUGUGGAGGAACACCAGUGGCGAAGGCGGCUCUCUGGCCUGUAACUGACGCUGAGGCGCGAAAGCGUGGGGAGCGAACAGGAUUAGAUACCCUGGUAGUCCACGCCGUAAACGAUGAGUGCUAAGUGUUAGAGGGUAUCCACCCUUUAGUGCUGCAGCAAACGCAUUAAGCACUCCGCCUGGGGAGUACGGCCGCAAGGCUGAACUCAAGGAAUUGACGGGGACCCGCACAAGCGGUGGAGCAUGGUGGUUUAUUCGAAGCAA